ACUAUCGGCAGCAUCUGAAGUCAUUAGUUAAUUUAAAUCUGGGAGUUCACACGCUGGCUUAUCAGGAGCUACCUCUGUUCCCGCUAAGCGCUUGCUCAGUGCCUUCUCUGGCUCCUAGAUCCUAUCUGCGCCUGCUUUGAAGCGAUGAUGGGCUGCCGAGCAGGCGAGGCACGCUGCCUGCUUCCCUGCCUGCUGGCAGGUGGGAGGGGAGAUGGAUCCUGCUUCACCCCCUCCCUGUGCUCCCCUUUUUGAACUGCUCCUCUGACUCAUCCAUUUCAUUUAUGUUUCCACCUUCGUUUCACGCAUAGCAAUUUGCCAGAGCGCUGGAAGGAGAAGGUGGCUCCAGUGAUGCUGCUGCAGCUUCCCCAGCUGCAAGGGGAGAUGCCCGGGUCCCAUGGGUGGGCUGGCAGCCAGGCUGAUGCUCUAUUCUGCUGCGGCUGGAAGACAUGAGCUCCCGAUUAAAGGAUAUUUCAACCAGACGGAGGGGCUGCGUCUGCCGGGGAACGUGCAGCAGGAGGGGACGGAGACAGGACGCGUGAGAGACGAGAGGAGAAAGCAAUUUACGCUGGAAUGUAAAUACGGCAGAGGCACGCUGCGCCGCGGGGCGCGUCGCUCCCUCCUGGCCCUGGGACCAGCGUGAGAGCUUGCCUGCGACAGCUCAGACCUCUUCCGUCCUUGCCGCCGCACGGGAGAGCCCACGUAUCGCCUGGGCACUGCGCAGAAGUGAGGAGAAGGAGGAGGGUUAGAGCCUGUUGCAGCAAGCCAGUCCCACCGCUGCUGCUCCUGCUUUCCACAGUGAGGGACCACAGGUCGCAUGUCCACUGGCAGAGGGAUAGAGUCUCAGCCAUCCCCUAAUAAUCCUAAGAAUCAAUAGCAGUGUCUCUAGGCCCCCUGAAUGUGCAGAACAGCUCAGAAUUAAGAGAACUUGUUAGCGGGAUUAACUCUGAAACCUAGUGACAACACUUUAAGUAUCUGUGCUAUCUAUAUCCUUGCUGCUCAUUCUAGCAGCCAGCUCUUCCUGAUGAGCUUUACUUAAAUGCACUAGGUUUGUCCUGUAAGAGCAAUCUCUGUGGAUAAAGAAGUGAGGUUUAAAGAUGUAAAUAUUCUGUGAGAUAUACCAAUUUAAAUGUCUUUUGUUGUUUCUUAGCCCGGCGUCCAGGGAUAAGUGUCUAAGGAAGCAAGGAAAGAUCCUCUAGAUUGUGAGACAGACAAACUUUAUUAAAAGAAAAGACCAAAUAAAAUAAAAAUACAAUUAUUUUAUUUUUUUUCCUUAAAAAAUACUGAAUUUGUAGAAGUUUCCUUCUGCUCACCCUGGGCAGUGUGAGCCCAGCUGGGCAGCAGGUCAGGUUCAUCUACUCCUCUCCCAUUGCAGAGCAUAGCUGGGGGAAGCCAUGCCCUCGUUGGCAGAUGUCAGAAGCAGCGGCACAGGGUGAACCCCAGCCAGCCCCCUCACUACUCAGGGCAGAGGGUUCAUGGCAGGUGACAAAGAGCCUCAAACAAGUCCUUAGAACACCCAGCUCAGGCUCGCAAUGGGCUCUUCUUCUGCCCCAAGGCUGGACCCCAAUGCAAGGAUCUGAGCUCAACGCAGAUGUUGAGAGAAUUCACACCCCAAGGCAGCGCGCCGAUGACUGCCUGAAAGGGUGCAGGCAGGAUGAGCCACAGGCGAGGCAGCUGCACCGGGGCGAGGGGACCAUCGCUGCCGCAGGCUCCGGCUCUCGCUUUGCAGCAGACUGUGCAACCAAACCCAGCGUGGGGAAAUCGAAACCCGGCUCAGCUGCCAGAUCCAUUAGGGAAGGAACCGGCCGUGCCUGGUGGAUGGCUAUCACGGGAGAGGCGGGGGUGCUGCCGGUGUGGUAGGGGCGCACAGCGGGGGAUUAAAUGGGAUAGUUAGGUGGAAAAGGUGUCCAGAGGAGCCAGGAGCCUACCCCACCCACCAGCAGGGCUGGAUGUGUUCCCAGGGAUGCUUUCUGCUGGCUUUAAGCUGCAAGAAGCAGAGCUUUUCCCUAGCAGCCAUACCCGGGGUUUGCAGUGGGUCACUGCAGGCGUGGAACAGCAGCCUGGCAGCCCUGGGACAAGGGUUUCCCACACACUCGAAGGCAGGGUGGUCUGCCCAUCUCCCAACUGCCACGGCAGCUGAGGUUCACCCUGCUUGUUCUGCUUUACUCACAUUUUAUUUCUUUAUACUCAGUUAGUGCUUUUAUAUUUGCUCAUCUGAGCACCACAGGCAGCACAGCAUCCCAUCACCCAGGCAAGGAAGGGGAUGGGAUGUGCCCUGCCAUGCCAGGGUGGUUGAGCUGGGCUGAAGUGCCAGGAGGAGAGAAGAACCAGGAGCAGCACCAGGCUCUUCCAGGUGGUAAUGCCACGAAGGUGUCCUCUCUGAAAUGCCACUGCAGGUCACGUUUGCUGCCACAUCCUGAUGCUAGUUAACCUCCUGUUGCAGCUCCCUGUCUUCGUGAAGCCAUGGUGCCCAGCGGUCAUCUUGCCGAGUGGAUACCCAUGUUUGAUCAUUUUGCUCCAGGCGUACGAGCUGCACGUAUCAAAGCUGAGCCACAUCUUAUCUCCUGGCUGUGUUCCUGUCUGUUCCCAACUCGGGAUUCCUGGCUGCA